GAGACACCCCUAUGAGCAGGGCUUGCUUCAAUGGGACUCUGGUGCUCACUGAGUCUGCUCCUUGAGUGUGUCGCU
rnacentral:pre_miRNA from 1 species